GAGAGAGAGAAACAUCAAUGAUGAGAAUCAUUGAGUGGCUGCCUUCUGCACGCCCCCUACUGAGUGGGAAUCGAGCUCGCAACACAGGCAUGUGCCCUUGGCUGGAAUCGAACCUGGGACCUUUUAGUCCGCGGGCCGAAGCUCUGUCCACUGAGCCAAACCAGCUAAGGGCUCCUUGUUUUCUUCUUAUAUUAAUGUGAAAUCUCAAAGUAAGCAAGUUUUCUGUGUUGAGCUAAAUGCACUCUUUCUCUAUUUGUUCAACUAAAGGGGGAAUCAGUUCAUACUUGAAUGCUAAUGGAGUGGGAAUAGGGACAAUUGAUCUUCUGAAGGCCUCCCCUGUGGAGAACAGUGCCAUCCUGAAGCCAUUAACAAGGCUUUAGCCCUCAAGCUUUGGAUAUGGGCUCUUAAUGAGCCCAACAGAGGGAGAAACUUGGCAAAUCGCAGCUAACAAGUGCUUCCUUGGACCUGUCUGGGAGGCUUCUGUUUUCUCAGGAGCCAAGCAGAGCAGAGGCCAUAAAAUAGCCCCGUGUGGAUGGCUACUUCCCUCACUUUCCCCUCCUCAUGGCCUGCAGAGGCUGGGGAGCUGCUCCCAGCAUUCGUGCCCUGGCUGUUUACAAACCAGCCCUCUGAGGACUCCUCUGGGAUCCCAGCUGCCCGAGGGUAAACUUCCUUGUCCUCUCACCCUCAGCCGUCCAGCUUUCUCCUCCUCAUGUACUCAUGGGGAAGAAAACGUUAAUAUUUUUUCUCACUUGCAUACUUUCACACCCAGUUUUGUGAAAUUACUGUUUUUCCUCCUUUGCUGGAUGCUGUAGUUGGAAGCAACAACUACAUUUCCCUGAAAAGUAAUCAAAUCAUGUAUUAAUACUGAAUUGCUCUACUAGCCAAUAAUAAAAAAUAUAUGGCAAUAGGUAUUCUUUCCCAGUUUUUAUAUUCUCUAGUUUAGUGCUAAAGUUUAGGACUUAAAACUGGGAGGUUGUAUUUGUAAGUAUAAUGAAAAGCUCUUUGAAAAUGUAAGAACUACCAGAGAUGUUUAAUUUAGUGUUUUAAUGGAAUUAUAAGCUCUCUGAAAUCUGGGAAGGCUUACUAGUAUCCAUUACGAGUGAACGGAAUCAAAAAGAAUAAGAAUCAAUAAAACUUCAAAUGAGAAUUUGACAAUGGGAUCAUCUCUUGGCUGUUACUAAUCCACUUCAUUACCCCAACUAUUGGGUCUAGAUGGUAUUUUAUUUUUUAAAUAUAUUUUUAUUGAUUUCAAAGAGGAAGGGAGAGGGAGAUGGAAACAUGAAGAUGAGAGAGAAUCAUUGAUUGGCUGCCUCCUGCACACCCCCUACUGGGGAUCGAGCUCACAACCCCGGGCAUGUGCCCUUGACCAGAAUCGAACCCGGGACCUUUCAGUCCUCAGGCCGGCGCUCUAUCCAUUGUGCCAAACCAGCCAGGGCUCAAAACGGUAUUUUCAAUGCCUGUCCUCAGUUCUGGUCCCAGGUCUCUGUCCCACUGGACACUUGUACUUGACUGGCCCAUCUUUCAACUUACACUCAUAGCAGUUCCUACAAGCUUCCCUCUCUGCCCCCCCAAUUUCACCUUUUCUUUGAAGGCACAUUCACAUAGAGUUUUCAUUUCCCCACUGCAUUUGGUCACUUAUUCGUUCUGCAUUUGCCACCAUCCUUCUAUUGCCACUGCCAUCACCUAAUCCAGAAGCUCAUCCAGUGGCUCCCUGUUGCUAGGGUGACUGUUGCCCUGCAGCGCACCAGUCUGUGCCUCCUUUAGGCCUUUGCCACCUGUUACUUUAUUUCAGCACCCCCAUUACUCUGACAGUAUCUGUUUUGGACUAUACUUUUUUGUUGUUAAUCCUCGUUCAAUAUUUUUCCAUAGAUUUUUAGGGAGAGUGGAAGAGCGAGGAAAAGACAGAGAAACAUCAAUGUGAAAGAAACACAUCGAUUGGUUGCCUUCUGCACGAGCCCGACCAGGGCCCGAGCCUGGGAGGAGCCUGCAUCGUAGGUACAUGCCCUUGACUGGAAUCAAACCCAGGACCGCAGGCCGGUACUCUAUCCACUGAGCCAAACUUGGACUAUAAAUUUUGUUUACCCCACACAUUACCUACGUGUGAAGUUCAGACUUGGAAUUUAGCUAACAGGAAGCACCCUUGGGCUGUACCGCUGUUUUCCCACUUACCUCAUACUCACAUUUCUGCUUGUCUGCGUCUCGCUUUCUUCACAGUUGUUCUUCCUCUCUCGCUCAGCAUUGGCAGCCUUGUGUUACUGGUGUAAGGUUUUGGAUAUGGCCUCAAGUUCCACCCUCACAUCGUGAGCUCCUCCAGUGCAGGAAUUCCAUUUUAUAGAUACUGCUCUUGCCCGGCUGGCUCAGUGGUUGAGCAUCAACCUAUGAUGAGGUCACAGGUUCAAUUCCCAGUCAGGGCACAUGCCCAGGUUGUGGGCUCGAUCCCCAGUGUGGGGCGUGCAGGAGGCAGCCAAUCAAUGACUCUCUCUCACAAUUGAUGUUUCUCCUUCCCUCUCUUUCUCUUCCUCUCUGAAAUCAAU